GCUUGUCUCAAAGAUUAAGCCAUGCAUGUCUAAGUACAAGCCUCAGUAAGGUGAAACCGCGAAUGGCUCAUUAAAUCACACCUAAUCUACUGGAAAGUUACUAGUUACUUGGAUAACUGUGGUAAUUCUAGAGCUAAUACAUGCAAAAAGCUCCGACCGUAUGGGAAGAGCGCUUUUAUUAGACCAAAACCAAUGGGAUCGCAAGAUCCCUUUGUAUGGUGACUCUGGAUAACUUUGUGCUGAUCGCAUGGCCUAGAGCCGGCGACGUAUCUUUCAAGUGUCUGCCCUAUCAACUUUCGAUGGUAAGCGAUUUGCCUACCAUGGUUGUAACGGGUAACGGGGAAUCAGGGUUCGAUUCCGGAGAGGGAGCAUGAGAAAUGGCUACCACAUCUACGGAAGGCAGCAGG
rnacentral:rRNA from 1 species